GACCUGUGUGUUUGUCUUUUAUUUGUAACAAAGCCUUACAGACAGGUAUAAGUAGUAAAUAAAUCCUCUUUUGCAUCCCAGAACUUAUUGUUGAGUAUGAGAUUUUGGUAUAUGUGAGAAGGAAUAUG